AUUGAACGCUGGCGGCAGGCCUAACACAUGCAAGUCGAGCGAGCGGCGGACGGGUGAGUAAUGUAUGGGGAACUGCCUGAUAGAGGGGGAUAACUACUGGAAACGGUGGCUAAUACCGCAUACUCUCGGAUGAACCCAUAUGGGAUUAGCUAGUAGGUGGGGUAAAGGCUCACCUAGGCGACGAUCCCUAGCUGGUCUGAGAGGAUGAUCAGCCACACUGGGACUGAGACACGGCCCAGACUCCUACGGGAGGCAGCAGUGGGGAAUCUUGCACAAUGGGCGAAAGCCUGAUGCAGCCAUGCCGCGUGUGUGAAGAAGGCCUUCGGAUUGUAAAGUACUUUCAGCGGGGAAGCGUUACCCGCAGAAGAAGCACCGGCUAACUCCGUGCCAGCAGCCGCGGUAAUUC
rnacentral:rRNA from 1 species